rnacentral:rRNA from 1 species
CCUACGGGAGCAGCAGUGGGGAAUUUUGGACAAUGGGCGCAAGCCUGAUCCAGCAAUGCCGCGUGGGUGAAGAAGGCCUUCGGGUUGUAAAGCUCUUUUGUCAGGGAAGAAACGGCUGAGGUUAAUACCUUCGGCUAAUGACGGUACCUGAAGAAUAAGCACCGGCUAACUACGUGCCAGCAGCCGCGGUAAUACGUAGGGUGCAAGCGUUAAUCGGAAUUACUGGGCGUAAAGCGUGCGCAGGCGGUUUUGUAAGUCUGACGUGAAAUCCCCGGGCUCAACCUGGGAAUUGCGUUGGAGACUGCAAGGCUGGAGUCUGGCAGAGGGGGGUAGAAUUCCACGUGUAGCAGUGAAAUGCGUAGAGAUGUGGAGGAACACCGAUGGCGAAGGCAGCCCCCUGGGUCAAGACUGACGCUCAUGCACGAAAGCGUGGGGAGCAAACAGGAUUAGAUACCCUGGUAGUCCACGCCCUAAACGAUGUCUACUAGUUGUCGGGUCUUAAUUGACUUGGUAACGCAGCUAACGCGUGAAGUAGACCGCCUGGGGAAGUACGGUCGCAAGNUUAAAACUUCAAAGUAGUUAAGUUGGACGNGNGAGNGCGACGACGACGACGACGGAGGAGGAG